AUUGAACGCUGGCGGCAGGCCUAACACAUGCAAGUCGAGCGCGAAAGGCCUUCGGGCUGAGUAGAGCGGCGGACGGGUGAGUAACGCGUAGGAAUCUACCUGGUAGUGGGGGACAACUUGGGGAAACUCAAGCUAAUACCGCAUACGCCCUAUGGGGGAAAGCGGGGGACCUUCGGGCCUCGCGCUAUCAGAUGAGCCUGCGUAGGAUUAGCUAGUUGGUGAGGUAAAGGCUCACCAAGGCGACGAUCCUUAGCUGGUCUGAGAGGAUGAUCAGCCACACUGGGACUGAGACACGGCCCAGACUCCUACGGGAGGCAGCAGUGGGGAAUAUUGCGCAAUGGGGGCAACCCUGACGCAGCCAUGCCGCGUGUGUGAAGAAGGCCUUCGGGUUGUAAAGCACUUUAAGUGGGGAGAAAGGCCCGCGGGUUAAUAGCGCGCGGGAUUGAUGUUACCCACAGAAUAAGCACCGGCUAACUCCGUGCCAGCCGCCGCCG
rnacentral:rRNA from 1 species